AUGCACGCUGGCGGCGUGCCUCAUCCCUGCAAGUCGAGCGAACGGACGAGAAGCUUGCUUCUCUGAUGUUAGCGGCGGACGGGUGAGUAACACGUGGAUAACCUACCUAUAAGACUGGGAUAACUUCGGGAAACCGGAGCUAAUACCGGAUGAUAUUUUGAACCGCAUGGUUCAAAAGUGAAAGACGGUCUUGCUGUCACUUAUAGAUGGAUCCGCGCUGCAUUAGCUAGUUGGUAAGGUAACGGCUUACCAAGGCAACGAUGCAUAGCCGACCUGAGAGGGUGAUCGGCCACACUGGAACUGAGACACGGUCCAGACUCCUACGGGAGGCAGCAGUAGGGAAUCUUCCGCAAUGGGCGAAAGCCUGACGGAGCAACGCCGCGUGAGUGAUGAAGGUCUUCGGAUCGUAAAACUCUGUUAUUAGGGAAGAACAUAUGUGUAAGUAACUGUGCACAUCUUGACGGUACCUAAUCAGAAAGCCACGGCUAACUACGUG
rnacentral:rRNA from 1 species